rnacentral:lncRNA from 1 species
CUACCUGUAGCAUCAGCACCCGAGGCAUCCGACGAUAGUAGACUCAUCAGCAACCUUGGAAACAUCUGAGCUUCUCCUAGAUCGACGGGAUAGAGAGCCAUUCCGCUCCAUCAGACAUUCCAACUGAGCUCCAGACGACAGAUCCGAACUCUCUGGUAAGUCACGAUAAUGGCCACUACCCUACUCUAUUCUUCGUAAUAGAUUUUGCAUGGAUCCACCACUCUCUGGCAAGUCACGACAAUAGAUACCACUCCACUGUCCGUAACAAACUCCACGUGAUCCUGAACGACCCCUGACAUCACUAC